rnacentral:rRNA from 1 species
CCGCCAGUGUGAUGGAUAUCUGCAGAAUUCGCCCUUAGAGUUUGAUCAUGGCUCAGGAUGAACGCUGGCGGCGUGCUUAACACAUGCAAGUCGAACGAACCUUCGGGUUAGUGGCGGACGGGUGAGUAACGCGUGGGAAUCUGCCCUCAGGAGGGGGAUAACGGUUGGAAACGACCGCUAAUACCCCAUAUGCCGAGAGGUGAAAUGAAUUUCGCCUGAGGAUGAGCCCGCGUCUGAUUAGCUUGUUGGUGAGGUAAUGGCUCACCAAGGCAUCGAUCAGUAGCUGGUCUGAGAGGAUGAUCAGCCACACUGGGACUGAGACACGGCCCAGACUCCUACGGGAGGCAGCAGUGGGGAAUUUUCCGCAAUGGGCGAAAGCCUGACGGAGCAACGCCGCGUGAGGGACGAAGGCCUCUGGGCUGUAAACCUCUUUUCUCAAGGAAGAAGAUAUGACGGUACUUGAGGAAUAAGCCACGGCUAAUUCCGUGCCAGCAGCCGCGGUAAUACGGGAGUGGCAAGCGUUAUCCGGAAUUAUUGGGCGUAAAGCGUCCGCAGGCGGCCUUUCAAGUCUGCUGUUAAAACGUGGAGCUCAACUCCAUCAUGGCAGUGGAAACUGAUUGGCUUGAGUAUGGUAGGGGCAGAGGGAAUUCCCGGUGUAGCGGUGAAAUGCGUAGAUAUCGGGAAGAACACCAGUGGCGAAGGCGCUCUGCUGGGCCAUUACCGACGCUCAUGGACGAAAGCCAGGGGAGCGAAAGGGAUUAGAUACCCCUGUAGUCCUGGCCGUAAACGAUGAACACUAGGUGUCGGGGGAAUCGACCCCUUCGGUGUCGUAGCUAACGCGUUAA